GGCUGCUGGCCCUCUGGCCAUCGGGGAUGCUGGGUCUGCGCAGGUAUGGACAGAACCCAGACUACGGAGGCACCGCUGGCCUCAGGAAAGUUACCUGCUGUCCGGGAAAGCCAGAACUCGGAAGCUUCUAACCCAGCCUGGCUCUAGAAUCACAAAACCUCAGUUUUCAAAAGGCCCAGGACCUCUCUGCUAUUCUCUCACCAAAAGCCGGGCAACGAUCUCAAAUUCGAUGUUGGUCCCCACUCUCUCAGCAACUCCCACCACCCACCACCACCCUCCCACCCCCAGCUCCACCAGCUUUUUCUGCCCCAGGACUUUGGGGAGGUAGGUGUGGGUGACCAAACUGUGGGAGACCAAACUGAGGUGACCAACAGCUAUUCACAGCCUGAAUCUUCCACAGAAAGCCUCAGCCCCACGUUCUUGGUGGCAGGGAAGGUGGACACAGGCCAGAUGCAGAAGGAAAACCCAGGCUCGGCCAGUCUGAGUGUGGGUCCCUGUUUCUAGCUGCCUGUGUCCAGGCCGCCCUGAUACUCUGGCUUCCGGGAUGCAUGAGCGUCCCACCUGGACGAAUGAGCACACACAGGAGCCUUCCUUGAGGAGAUUUCUGGAUCUGAGAACCAGGUGUGUGUGUGGGAGGGGGGAACAGGUACUUUUCCUCUUGUCCUCACAGAUGGCUGGCAGGCACCCCGCUUUCAACACCACAGGGAACCACGUUUCCAAGAAAAAGCUCCCGGAGCCACAGCAAGACAAAGGGGUUGUAUGUCACUUGGGGCAGCCCUUGGUUGUCAGUCUGAGGAAAUGUCUGGAACCUACCAGAGAAGCAGCUUCAGGUUACACGGAGCGGGGCUGUGGAGACUAGAGGGUGUGGUCCCAGGCCCAGCAGCCAGCCACAGCCCCGGCCCAGGCUCCUGUGGGGAUGAGAGGCCCAGGCGCUGAGGGAUGAUGGCACCCCAGAUGUCUGUUCAUUAUUUUCUCUGUCGGGAAGUCGGUCCUUCUUAACCGACUCCUAGCGGGCCACAAAUGGGGAGCACAUCACUUAGCCAUCAAAGGGGGUUUUGCCCAAUUAGUUCAGUCCCCAAGUCCAGAAUCAUUGGGCUGGGUGUUGUGGUCUUUCCUCAGAUCUUCAUGACUCACAGCCAGUAUUACGCACACCGAUCCUGAAACAGACACACACAGUCAUAGACACAUAAGCAUGUGGGUAUGCACCUCCCCCACACACACGUGCAGACGCAGAGACACGCCCUAACCUAGAAACACACACACAAACACACACACACCACAAACUCAUCCAAAGAUACAUGUGCAGAGACAUAAGGACCAACCCCCUCCACAUGCCCCCAAGGACACACACACACACAUUAACUCCCCCUUACACACACUCACAUUCAAAUACACAUAUUUGGCUAAUCACACAAAAUCUGCAGACCAAUCGUGCAAGUGUGUAAGGAGAUCUAAAGUCAGAAAACCACAUGCACGCACACACACACGCGCGCGCGCGCGCGCACACACACACGCACACACACACACAGACCUAACACUCUCAGAUGACCAGUCCCAAACCACAUACAGAUUCUACGCAGCUCUGUCCAACCGUACAGCUGACCCACGGCCUCCUGUCCCUGCCCAUGACCACGGUCCCGGUGUCCCAAGCACCCUGUACCAGAGCCCUCAGCAGGAGAAAAGGUGGCAGAUCAUUCAAGAGGCUCCCAGAAAGGAAAGAGCCAGGGGGCAAAUUUGGCCUGAGCCAGUGACAGUGACAUAAAAAGUCACCUUCCUGCCAUAUGGCUGAAUCCAACUUACACAUGGUGGCCCAUGGGCCAGGGGAAAGCCCGCACACCUCCCACCACCUGAGGAUGCAGCUGGACAAUUUGAAAAUGUUCCUGCAGGCUGCAUUCCAAAAGUCUUUUGGUUCUCAAAGAGCCCCCAACUCAAUCAGUACAACUAAAGAAUGAACCCUAUGGAGAAUUACAUAUGAGAAGUGAACAACGCAGUGCUUUUGAAAGUGAAACAUUUGGCUAAUUAGGAUGUAUCUUGCACGAAAAAAUUGUAUUUGAUGUUUAGCAACAUGGAAAAAUAUGUAAGUUAUAUCAUAGCUUUAAGGAAAUAAACUUGGAUGGAAUUUUUUAUGAGGAUUACAACGAUGCCAGUAAACAAGCAGUCGACAACGGGAAAUAGGAAAGAAAAUGCAAGUGAUGGGAGGAAAUUCCCUUUUCCCAGACUUCUGCAAAAUGGACAAAUAAAAAUUAAAUCUAGCUAGCCACAGAGAAUAAGGUCACCAUCUCCAACGUUUAGAGAUACCUUCUUUGUAGAAGCAGAAGGAGUCCAGUUUAGCAAGUUUGAUGCUGAGGACACACUCGCUUGCUAAUUUGUCAAUUUGGAAAGAUCCAGCUUUAUGUGGGAUGUGGCCGUUCACGGAUAAAGCAUUAAUGAGGACUUGCCAGGUGCAUGUAAUUGGGGUCACACAGAUGAAGAAAACUUUCUUUAAACCCUAAGGCUUCUUGGAGGAGAUGGUGCUGGAACUGAGGUUGGAGGAGACAUAGAAGGACAUGUGGAUUCCAGCAGUGGUUAGGAGACCAGGAGACAAAAUGAAGCAAGGAGGGGCUUGUGAAGACAACAGUGGCUCUGGGGGUUCUUACAACAGGACUAGAUGGGUCAUGGGGGAAUUCAUAAGGAGAGGCAGCAUGGGGCUUCAGGAUGGGGCUGGGGGGAAAGCGGUUCCACUUUGGACCCAACGGUUUGGAGUACCCCAAAAUGCCACCCACUCUCCAUGGAGCUAUAGAAGGGAGAGUGAUCAGGGUAAAGAUAGUGGAGGAAGCUUGCAGGUUUGUAGAAAAUAAUUCAUAGUGUAAGAAAAUAAUCAAGGAGCUAACUCCAGGGAAGAGAGCUAGUAAAGGGGUUGGUGGAAAGAUUGGAACCCAUGAAGACAGAAAGGAGCUGGUCAGAGGUAGAACUUCCUGUCACAAAAUGCAAAGGAAGGGUCAAGGCAAAGGGCUAACCAACAUGCGAAAGAGUCUUAAAGGUAAGAUGGGGUCGGUACAAAGUCUUGGGAGAGGACAUCAAGAACAUUUAUUGACAAUGAUGCCUUUAAAGGUCCUACCCACCCAGAGCACCAAGGAGAGCAUCAAGAAAUAGGUUUCAGCUUAUGGAAAUCAACUGUCUAUAAUAAACACUUUGAGUCCAGUAUGAUCCCGAAAGGUAAAUUGGCCAAAGCUUAUCAUAAUAUAAAAAUGAAUUACUAGAACCUUCCUUAUCAGCCAAGCUACCCUGGGCUUAUUAGAUGGUUUGGCUGGAGACCAAGUGGUAAAUAAUCAAUAUUUAUGAUGAUUCCCUCAUAUAGGUAGUUAACUCUUUGGUCUAAACUGAGCCAGAUCUCCUACGCCAAAAAAAAGGUUUCCCUGGUUUUCCUUUUGCCUCUCUAGUCUCCCAAGUUUACUAAUAAAUUUUAAAACACAUGUUAACAAAUUAAGCACAAAUUUUAAAAAUUUCAAAUUGGUUUCGUUGAAAAAGAUGGCCCUGAUUCUAGGUUGGGCCUCCCGACACAGACUGGAAACAUUAAAUAAAAAGUUAGUAUAUAAUAAUUUGUAAAUUUUUGUGUGUGGUUCUGGGUGAAAUGUGAGCCAUGAAAAGUCUUGCUCUGGGUUGUUAAAAAAAGGGAACAUUAUGUGGCAAAAGUCCUCAUCUAGAACAUUAAUGCUAAUGUUUCAAAAUCUGUAAACUAUGCAGUAUAGAUGCUGUUGAAAUGGCCAAAUAAAAUAGAGAAUUGACCAAAGAGAGCAAGAUGCUUGACUCCUUUAGAAUUUGGUGAGUCAUUCUCGUCUUAAUAACUGGGGACAGACAUAAAGAGUAUAACACAAUGCCUGGCACACAUUACUCCAAAAAUAUUAGCUGCUAUUAUAAGAAAGGAUCUGUUCACGGAUAAUAAAACUAAAUUUAAACAAUGCAGACUGUAAAGGGAAUUUAAAUAGAGAACUGACCUCACUACAACAACUUCUCACAGUAAAUAAUUAGCCCUUUAUGUGGUAUUUUG